GAAGUUGGUCGGAUAGUCGCUGGGCGUUCGCGUCGAGAGGAAAGUCCGGGCUCCAUAGAGCAAAGUGCUAGCUAACAGCUAGGUAUGGUGACAUAACGGAAAGUGCUGCAGAGAUUUAGACUACCCAUUUAUGGGAAAAGGUGAGAAGGUGCGGUAAGAGCGCACCGCGCGUUUGGUGACAAACGUGGCAAGGUAAACCCCACUUGGAGCAAGCUCAAAUAGGAUGGCAACGAUACUGCUCGUAUAAGCCAUCGGGUAGAGUGCUAAAGAGUUUUGGUGACAAAAUUCGUAGAUGAAUGACUAUCUAUUACAGAACCCGGCUUACAGACCGACUUCACUU
rnacentral:RNase_P_RNA from 1 species